rnacentral:rRNA from 1 species
UACGUAGGGACCGAGCGUUGUCCGGAAUCACUGGGCGUAAAGCGCACGUAGGCGGCUUUUUAAGUCAGGGGUGAAAUCCUGGAGCUCAACUCCAGAACUGCCUUUGAUACUGGGAAGCUUGAGUCCGGGAGAGGUGAGUGGAACUCCGAGUGUAGAGGUGAAAUUCGUAGAUAUUCGGAAGAACACCAGUGGCGAAGGCGGCUCACUGGCCCGGUACUGACGCUGAGGUGCGAAAGCGUGGGGAGCAAACAGG